rnacentral:SRP_RNA from 1 species
GCCGGGUGUGGUGGCUCACACCUGUAAUCCCAGCACUUUGGGAGGCCGAGGCAGGAGGAUCACCUGAGGUCAGGAGUUCGAGACUAGCCUGACCAACAUGGAGAAACCCUGUCUCUA